rnacentral:lncRNA from 1 species
GUUUUACUGUUGCUGUCGAUGGUGGAGUUUUGUCAUAGGUGUGCACGGUGCAACGUCUGAAAACUUCUGAAAGACAGAAAUAGUUCAAGAUAGACCAUCCAUCCUCCUGCCACGCAGAGGUAACUUCGAUCACCUUACAUGAAGGUCUGAAGGUCAGCAGGCCCCGCAGGUAGCCUUCGUGUUUAAGAGGCCGGGACCAAAGGUGAAGCCUGCCAGCAACACCAGAGUUGCAUCCCACACUCAGUCCGGCUUGCAAUCGGAGGGCAGGCACGUCACAAUUCUGGUGGAAAGGAUCCAAGAACCCCUGCCUGCUGGACCUGCAGACAGACUCAGAUUCUCCAGGACGAGGCCCCUGCGGAAAGAUGGUGGGAGGAGAGAAGGUGAACUUGGUCCCGGGACUGCAUCAGGUGAGUGGUCCGUGGGGCCAGGAGACCUGAAUUCCUAGGGCAGGUGUCCGGCUCCAGUCCCGGCUCCGUGUGAACCGAAGUAGCAGGGUCAUGCUCUCCUCUGCUGGGCUCCCUGGACGGGAUCUUUGGAAGUUCCAAGCACUGAAAUUCUUAGGAAGCCAUCUCUCCUCCCCUGGCUCUCUGUACCCUAGACCCAUUCGAAAUGCAGACUCUUCUGAACUUAAACCAGUCCCAAGAUCCAGCAAUAUAAUUUUUUAUUAUUUAUUUAUUUAGAUUUUUGAUUUAAAUUAAAAAAAUUAAAAUAUAGGUGAUAUACAAUGUUGUGCCAAUUUCUGCUGCACAGCAAAGGGACCCAGUCAUACAUAGACAGAUGUUCUUUUUCUCAUAUUAUCUUCUAUCCUGUUCUAUCACAAAAGACUGGAUAGGAGUUCCCGUCGUGGCGCAGUGGUUAACGAAUCCGACUAGGAACCAUGAGGUUGCGGGUUCGGUCCCUGGCCUUGCUCAGUGGGUUGAGGAUCCGGCGUUGCCGUGAGCUGUGGUGUAGGUUGCAGACGCGGCUCGGAUCCUGCGUUGCUGUGGCUCUGGCGUAGGCCGGUGGCUACAGCUCCGAUUCAACCCCUAGCCUGGGAACCUCCAUAUGCCGCGGGAGCGGCGCAAGAAAUAGCAACAACAAUAACAACAACAAAAAGACCAAACAAACAAACAAACAAACAAAAGACUGGAUAGAGUUCCCUGUGCUGUGCAGCAGGACCUUGUUGCUUAUCCAUCCUGAAUGUAGUAGUUUGCAUCUGUUAACCCCAAACUCCCCGUCCAUCCCAAUCCUUCCCCCUCCCCCUUGGAAACCACAAGUCUCUUCUCCAACAUUAUAGUUUUUUUAAAUGGAGAAUAUUUAGGGCAUAUUUUGAAAGAUUCCAUUACUUCCAUUACUGUUAUUGUUGUCGCUGUCAUUGUUAUUAUUCAUGAUCCGCCUCCCACGCCCCCUGGCAACCACAAGUCUGCUCUCCUGGUCCCUGAUAUGCUUCUGUUUUGUAGAUAAGAUCAUUUGUAUCAUAUUUUAGAUUCUAUAUAUAUUUGUCUCUCUCUUUCUGACUUACUUCACUCGUGAUGAAAAUCUCUAGUUGCAUCCGUGUUGCUGCAAAUGGUAUUAUUUUGUCCUUUUCAUGACUGAGUAGUAUUCCAUCACAUAGAGGUACCACAUCUUCUUAAUCCAUUCACCUGUUGAUGGACAUUUAGGUUGUUUCCGUGACUUAGAUAUCAUGAACCCUAAAUAUAGAACUACCAUAUGCCCUAGCAAUUCCACUCCUGGGCAUGUGUCUGGAUAAAACUUUGAUUCAAAAAGAUACAGGCACCCCUACGGUCACUGCAGCCCUAUUCACAACAUCCACAGAAGGAUUUUUAUUAAUACUUUUUCUUUGGAGAUGUUACUUACAAUGAUUUUUGCUCUUCGAUUCCUUACCCAGCUGAACCAAGAUUGAUAAAAAGGUUCUCCUGGAUUCAGAAAUUGAUGUUCAUUCAUUGCCAUGGUCUCCUUUGCUUGGGGUUGUCCCACCAUUUUUCUACCCUUAGCACCUGGAAGACCAGGCAUUGUGCGAAGCAGGACAGCAAUCAGAAGGAGGGCAGAGCUUGGAGGGACAUUGCACCCCUUUGAGGGUUGGCAGGGGGACCGGGGCUUCAUUAAUCUAAUCUGGCCCCUGAGGAAGAAAAAAUUAGUGCUCUCCGUAUGUACAUGACCUUUGCCCCAGUUCUAUUUUUGGAAUCAUUGCUGGAGGGUCUGUCAGUGGUGUCUGGGGGGGAGUUAAAACAGAAUUUACAAUUGAGUGGUCGGUUCACCCUUGCAUGGAGCUCACUGCCUUGAGAGAAAUCUGCAGCUCAAAUAAUAAAGAGUCCGAGAUUCCUCCAAAGCAGUCUGUUCAUUCAGAAAAGUCAUUAAGUGAUGCUAAAAGUAGAUGCUAAAAGUAGAUAGAACUGGAGUUCCCGUCAUGGCGCAGCAGAAACGAAUCCCACUAGGAACCGUGAGGUUGCGGGUUUGAUCCCUGGCCUUGCUCAGUGGGUUAAGGAUCCAGCAUUGCCGUGAGCUGUGGUGUAGGUCAAAGAUGCAGCUUGGCUGUGGUGCCGGCCGGCAGCUGUAGCUCUGAUUCAACCCCUAGUCUGGGAACUUCUAUAUGCCGCAGGUACGGCCCUAAAAAGCAAAUAAACAAAUAAAUAACUAAAUAAAAUCGGAUAGAACAACCACCUAGCUGGGCUGCUGACUGAAUUUUCAUACAGUGGCUAAAUAUUUUGAUUCAAUAUAUUCAAGCAGAAUCAAAUACUUGUUUAAUUUUAUUUAUGAAACGUCAUUUCAGUUGAACAGAUGCUAUGGUUAAUUUCAAUUCAUGUUGGAGACAGACGCGUACAAUUUCAUUAUUGUCUUGGUCAGAUGUCCAAUCUUCUACUACCUCUUUGUGCUAAUCCAGUUAGUUGGCAGCUCGUGACUGAGAGGUACUAAUGUAGGGAAAGAAGGCCACUUUCUUCGAUGGAUUUUUAAAAUUAGAAUUUGGGAGUUGCCGUCGUGGCGCAGGGGAAACGAAUCUGAUGAGGAACCAUGAGAUGGCAGGUUCAAUCCCUGGCCUCCCUCAGGGGGUUAAGGAGCUGGGGUUGCUGUGAGCUGUGGUGUAGGUUGCAGAUGCGGCUCAGAUCUGCUGUUGCUGUGGCCGUGGUGUCGGCCAGCAGCUGUAGCUCCAAUUCGACCCCUAGCCUGGGAACUUCCAUAUGCCAUGGUGCGGCCCUAAAAAAGCAAAAAAUAAAAAUAAAAUAAAAAAUUAAAAUUUAUCUAUGUCGAUGUUCUUAGGACCAAUGAUAUAAAGUCGCCUCAAAACUGUGUAACUACAGACCCAAUUCUGUACUGCUUACAAGAGACACCCAUUAAAUAUAACUCAGGCACUCAAUAAUCAUGAGAAAGCAGGAGUGACUCUAUUAGCAUCAGAAAAAGUCCACUUCAAGACAAGACGUAUUAUCAGAGACAAUUUCAUAAUGAUGAAAACAGAACCUGACAGAAUUAGAGACGUCAAUGCACGCUUAUAGUCAGGAAUUUUAACAUUUCCCUUUGCAUCAUUGAUGGAACCAGUAGGUGGUAUAAGACGUCAGGAUACAGACGAUUUGAACAACACUACCGUUCAAUUAACCUAAUGGACAUUUCUAGAACUACACACGCAACCAGGUAGAAUACACGUUCUUUUCUGGUAGACGGAGAUCAUUUGCCAAGAUAGACCACGUGCUAUCAAAUAGCAAAUAUUCAGCUAGCCAAUACUCAGAGAUAUAAAAAUAUUCGAUCAUGCAGAAUAUCUUCUCUGACUACAAUGGAGUUAAAUUAGAAAUGGAAAAUAAAAAGAUAUCUGGAAAAGCCCCCGCUAUUUAGAAGAUAAACCACAUACUCCUGAAUAACCCUUGGCUGGAAAGAGAAAUCCUAAGGGAAAUACGGCCAACUGAACGAUCGGGGCUGGCACAACAGGUUAAAAUCGGAGAGAUGGAUCAAAGACAUAGUCCUCAGUGAAAUCUGUAACUCUAAAUGCUGAUAUUACGAAAGAAGAAUGGUUUUAAAUCAAUCCUUUGAGCUUCCCUUUUAAGGGACUAGAAAAACAAGAGAAAGCAAAUCAAAACCGAAAUAAAAGGAAUGAAGGAAACGGUAAAGAUAAGAUCAGAAACCAGUGAAAUACAAAAUGCACAGACAAUGGAGAAAAUCAGUAACACUAAAGGCUGGUUCUUCGAAAGAUCAAUAAAAUUGAAAAAGCUCUGGUUAAACAACUGAUGAAUUGAUACUGAUAAAGGUGAGAAAAAAAUACGAAUGACUAAAUCAGGAAUGAAGAAGGACAUUAGUUUGGAUGCCACAGAUGCUAAAAAGACAGAAAGGGGAUAUACUGCGAGCAGAUUUACAUCCUUCAGUUUAGCGACUCAGGUGACAUGGAAAAAUUUCUAGAAAAACAUAUGUUGCAAAAACAAGACACACAAAGAAACAGAAAAUGUAAAUAGCUCAAAGAUGUUCAAUUCAAUUCAUAAUAAGAUCCUGGAUCAAAGAAAAUUCUAUGAAAGAUGGCUUUCCUAGUAAAUUUUAUGAUACAGUUAAGGAAGAAAUAAAACUAAUUUUAGACAAACUCUGUCUGAAAAUGCGAGGCCAGCAUAACCCUGAUUCCAAAACCAGACAAGAAUAUUACAAGGAAACCACAGACCAAUAACAAAAAUUUGUCUUAUGAACAAAGAUUCCCAGACCCCU